AUUGAACGCUGGCGGCAUGCCUAACACAUGCAAGUCGAACGGCACGGCGGACGGGGAGGUAAGGCCUAGGAAUCUGCCUGGGAGUGGGGUAUAACGUCCGGAAACGGGCGAUAUGACCACAUACGAGCAGAGGGGCCUAGGGUGUAUUAGCUGGUUGGUGGGGUAAAGCCCUACCAAGGCGACGAGCCGUAGCCGGGCUGAGAGGUUGAUCAGUCACACUGGAACUGAGACCCGGCCCAGACUCCUACGGGAGGCAGCAGUGGGGAAUAUUGGACAAUGGGCGAAAGCCUGAUCCAGCAAUGCCGCGUGUGUGAAGAAGGUCUUCGGAUUGUAAAGCACUGUAAGUUGGGAAGCGUUACCAACAGAAUAAGCACCGGCUAACUUCGUGCCAGCAGCCGCGGUAAUAC
rnacentral:rRNA from 1 species